rnacentral:rRNA from 1 species
ACGAACGCUGGCGGCGUGGAUAAGACAUGCAAGUCGAACGAGAGAAUUGCUAGCUUGCUAAUAAUUCUCUAGUGGCGCACGGGUGAGUAACACGUGAGUAACCUGCCCCCGAGAGCGGGAUAGCCCUGGGAAACUGGGAUUAAUACCGCAUAGUAUCGAAAGAUUAAAGCAGCAAUGCGCUUGGGGAUGGGCUCGCGGCCUAUUAGUUAGUUGGUGAGGUAACGGCUCACCAAGGCGAUGACGGGUAGCCGGUCUGAGAGGAUGUCCGGCCACACUGGAACUGAGACACGGUCCAGACGCCUACGGGUGGCAGCAGUCGAGAAUCAUUCACAAUGGGGGAAACCCUGAUGGUGCGACGCCGCGUGGGGGAAUGAAGGUCUUCGGAUUGUAAACCCCUGUCAUGUGGGAGCAAAUUAAAAAGAUAGUACCACAAGAGGAAGAGACGGCUAACUCUGUGCCAGCAGCCGCGGUAAUACAGAGGUCUCAAGCGUUGUUCGGAAUCACUGGGCGUAAAGCGUGCGUAGGCUGUUUCGUAAGUCGUGUGUGAAAGGCGCGGGCUCAACCCGCGGACGGCACAUGAUACUGCGAGACUAGAGUAAUGGAGGGGGAACCGGAAUUCUCGGUGUAGCAGUGAAAUGCGUAGAUAUCGAGAGGAACACUCGUGGCGAAGGCGGGUUCCUGGACAUUAACUGACGCUGAGGCACGAAGGCCAGGGGAGCGAAAGGGAUUAGAUACCCCUGUAGUCCUGGCAGUAAACGGUGCACGCUUGGUGUGCGGGGAAUCGACCCCCUGCGUGCCGGAGCUAACGCGUUAAGCGUGCCGCCUGGGGAGUACGGUCGCAAGAUUAAAACUCAAAGAAAUUGACGGGGACCCGCACAAGCGGUGGAGUAUGUGGCUUAAUUCGAUGCAACGCGAAGAACCUUACCUGGGCUUGACAUGUAAUGAACAACAUGUGAAAGCAUGCGACUCUUCGGAGGCGUUACACAGGUGCUGCAUGGCCGUCGUCAGCUCGUGUCGUGAGAUGUUUGGUUAAGUCCAGCAACGAGCGCAACCCCUGUUGCCAGUUACCAGCACGUGAAGGUGGGGACUCUGGCGAGACUGCCCAGAUCAACUGGGAGGAAGGUGGGGACGACGUCAGGUCAGUAUGGCCCUUAUGCCCAGGGCUGCACACGUACUACAAUGCCCAGUACAGAGGGGGCCGAAGCCGCGAGGCGGAGGAAAUCCUAAAAACUGGGCCCAGUUCGGACUGUAGGCUGCAACCCGCCUACACGAAGCCGGAAUCGCUAGUAAUGGCGCAUCAGCUACGGCGCCGUGAAUACGUUCCCGGGUCUUGUACACACCGCCCGUCACAUCAUGGAAGCCGGUCGCACCCGAAGUAUCUGAAGCCAACCGCAAGGAGGCAGGGUCCUAAGGUGAGACUGGUAACUGGGAUG